UUAUUUUCCAUAUUGGUACCCAAGCUGUCUUUGCUGACAUCUGCAAAAUCCUCUGAUGAAUGAUCCAUCCAUUCCUUGAACUCUCGUAGCCAUAGAACAGAACGUUCUUUCUUCAGGUUUUCAACUUUCCUUAUAAGACCAAAUAUAUCAGCAUCUUGAUCACACUUUAGAUUGUCUUUGUUCUCGUGAUCACAUGACACAGUCUCUUGGUCAGAAUUCGCGUAGGUGCUCUCUUCCUCGCAAUCAAUAGAAGCGAGACGGCAGAUCAUUUUCUGUUGAAGGUUAAAACAGAACAAUAAGCUUACAGUAAUUAUUUAUCGAACAAAAUAAACCAAGAUGCUGAAAAGAAACAAAUAAAGAAGCUGAAUGCCACAUGUGCAUGGCUGAAACAUUCACCAAAACAGUCACACCACUAUGCCCAACUAACUGGCUUGAAUUUUGUUUCGUUCUACAUUUUUUCCUAAUUCAUUAUCACGAAAAGGGCCGAUACAAGCAAGAGCAAAUAAUAUAUGCAUGUGUGCAAGUAUACUGUGAGUGGACUUGUGGCUACUUACCUUUUUUCUAUUACAGCUUUCUUCUUCGUUUCCUUCCUCUCUAGCUGGAUAAUAGAAUCCGUAGCUGGCAGGCUCACUAUGUCUAUGGGCUACAAUGAUUUGCCUCUUCCAAAAUUCUCUAGUUCCUAUCUGUUUGCCAUCUAGUUUCAGCUGAAAAGUCGUACAACACAAGAUGCAUUACAAGCCAAACAAAAGCAGACAGUGCCAUUUCUUUCGUCUAGAUAAGAUUCCAAGAUCUCCAAAACAAGAAUAAAGAAACUUACGCCAUCUGGAAGAGCAAUGUAGCUGAAGACAUGAGCCCUGUACCAUCGAGCACAGCACACUGGAUUUCCUUCCAGCCACAAUUCUUUGAGUAGUGAAAGACUCCAAAGCAACUCCAAUUCUGAAAAUUUUGAAAUGAUAUUGUAGGAUACAUCAAGGCCUUCGAGUGACUUCAAGUUCUCAAUCCCACGCAACGUAGUUAGAGCGUUGUUCCUCAAAACAAGCUUUACAAGGUGACAGGAUACCUGCAUUGUCCCAAAACUUGCGGUUAUGGGUCCCAAGUGUAAGUAUCAAAGAUUCAGGUCAGAUGCAUGUGACAUUCCUAGACAGUCUAAAGGACAAUCAGAAUACGAACCUCAAAGGAAAAAAGCGAGCACUACAACAUUCCUUCUCAUCUAACAAACGUGAAUGUUAUAUAACCUUAGAUAAAACGAAACACAUGCAUGGAUAUAAUGAAGCCUGAAGUUUCCUUCACCUGACUCAAGUGAGAGACCGUUCUAAGAUGAUUAAACCCCAGAUCAAGGUGCUUCAGUUUGGUGCAUCUCCUAAGAUUAUCCACUUUCGCAAACUUGUUUCGACUCAGAUCAAGCGACUCAGCAGCUGGGAGAAGCUGCAAGGACUCAUCCAUGAGCACAAGACGGUUACAAGAACAUGAUACAACCGCCAACUUGUUCCACUCUUGCGAAUUCGUUAUCUCGGCAAUUCUACUGGCGAAAACAUGCCUCAACGCAUCCUACAUCAAAUGGUACCAACACAUUACUCAAAACGAUUCAUAGAUAUAUAACUUCAACUGCUCAUUAUCCAUUCCAACUAUACUAAUAGUGUUCAAUUUUUUUUUAUCGUCUUAUUUUAACCAGGGUUAGUGGCCUGCUGGCGAUUAACUUGAGGGCAAAAGCCCAAUACGGUGAAGCCUCCCGGUCACUGGGAAUUAACAUUUCGGUGACUAGUCUGGACCAUUUCUGCGGAGAUAAUUCAAAAAAGAAAAAAAAUAGUGUUCAAUUUCUCUGUAUAACAAAAUUGUAACUAACAGUGGAGUUAUGGCAAAUGAUCUUCUCCAAGGUGUGACGGAGCUCGAGCAAGCCCUUAGCCGGAGAAGUAGACAAAUCACAGCCACGAAGCUCCAAAACCUUAAGCCUACCGAAGGGAAUAAGAGACAACGGCGUCGGAUCACGAGCCGGGGAAGGAAGAGUGGAGACGACCUUAACCGAAGUGAGGAUUCGGAGUAUGCGACGGAGCUGCUCGAGCGCGCGGUAGUCUCCGAGGUCGGACACGUAAGCGCGAAGGUAGUCAACAGGAGCGCCGGAGAGCAUGCGCUCGAGCUCACGGAGAGAGUCAAGGCGGAGGUGGAUAUAGUGAAGACCAGCUGGAUUGAGCUUGAGAACAAUCGUUUCCUCGAGGAGAGACUCGGUUUCUUCUUCUAGAAACUUCUGUAGCUUCUCAACGUAGCGAUCUCCCGUCACAAUCGCCAUUGGAAUCGAGUCGUUAAGAAGGCGGAAUCGGGGUAGAGAGAGAGGGAGGUUUUGGAGGUGUAAAGAUAGAAACCGCCAUGGCUGAUUGAUUACGGAGAGAGAAGAGCGACGGGGGAAGACGAAUGAUUGGAGAAAGAGAGGGUAAAAUGGGAAAUUUGAAAAUAGUUUAAGGGUGUUUUUGUCUUUUGCAUAGUAUGUGCUAAAAUUCAAGAAACACAUGGCAGCCAUGCCUUUCAACAAUCAACCUGGUGUCCUACUCCUCCCCAUGUGGUGUUACAAGUAAUUCUGAUUCUGUUUUCAGGUUGGUCGAACCGGAUGAGUUGUAGAAGAACAAAUCGAUUUGAGAUAUUGAUUAAACCGAAGGAAUAAAAACAAAAGCAUAUACUCUAGACGCCCUAGAGGUUCAUGGUUAUAAUCACCUACAUUAAUAGUGUAAAAUAAGUUUUAAAAGCAAAUUCAUAACCAAUUCAGGCCAAUUCUAGAAAGGUUUUUAUAAUAUUUAAAAUCAGUGGAGCCGAAAAAAAUAUAUUGUAAAUUGAAACAAAAUUUUUGAAAAAAUGUUAAGAUUUUUCUCCGAGAUUUUGAGGAGAUAAAAAAGAGAGUUUUUUAUUUGAUGUUUUUGACUUUUUCAGUUGUUUCUAAUAGUUGUUUAGUUUAAUACCAUUAAAUAGAUGCAGUAUUAAAAAAUGCAUAUGCUGUAUAUGUAUAAAUUACUAUAGAUUUUUUGCUUCGAGUUUCUGAAAUUAUGUUUACUUUUCUUUUCGUCUACACUACUUUCCUUUUGCAUUUUCUUAAGUCGUGAGUUGAAAAGGGGAGAGAGAUUGGAGAGACGAUUUGUGUAUGGCUGUUAUCCCAUUAAUUUUUGUCACACAUUAAUUUUAAAGUCUAUUUAAUUUAGUGAGAUUAUAUAUUCGAAUCACAAAUUAAAUUAGAUUUAAUUUAAUAUAAAUAAAAUAUUUGAGUCACCAAUUAAGUUAUUUCUGUUUAAAGUAUAUGUAAUUCCAUUUAAUUAAAUAUCUGAAUCCCAAAUAAACUUAUUUUCAUUUUAACUAUUUUAAUUAAAUUUAAAUUAAAUAUUUGUCACUGAUUAAGUUGUUUUCAUUUAAAGUUUAUUUCAAUCAAUUUAAAUAAUGUGAAUCUCCUAAAUAGCCUCUUUUUAUUUUUCACUUUCUAAAAUAGAACCCAAAAAUCAAAAUGACCAUAAUAUGUUUUACUAAGAGGUUAGAUGACGAUUAUAUUCUUAUUUAUUAUUGUAAUUAAUUAUUUAUUGAAUAUAAAAAAUUAAACAAAUAUUUUAAAAUUUUAAAAUAAUAAAACUGAAAGAUAUUUUUGAUUUUUAUCAAAAUUAUAUUCACAAUUUCCUUUUUUCUUUAAUUAUAUUUGUUUUUUAAAAGAAAUUUGAAGACUUUCCUGAACAUAUAUGAUAUUUUCCUAAAUUUCUAAUUUUUUAAAUUAACGAAUGUCUUCAUAAAUGUGUAAAUAUACUUUUUGAAUGUACAAUUUAUGUUUAUCUAUGUAGAUAUUCCUAAAUGUAUACGUCAUCCUUCUGAAUUUGAUUUAUAUGAAUAUUUAGGAAAAUAUUAUUCAAUUUAUGACAUCUCUCGAGAAUUGACAAAGUUGUUUUUAAAAAUUUAUAAUAUAUUUUAUAAAAUUAGAUAUCAAAUCCAUGAAGAUCUUCCAAAAACUGUAAGAGAAAAGAUUAUGACAGUAAAAAUUUACACAGCCGACUCUAGACUGAAAGUUAAAAAGCUUACCUUCUAAGAGAGCAUUUAGAAUCCUGAGAAUCAAAAACUUGUAUGAUAUUGAGUAACUCUGUUGUCUUCUCAAUGCACUUUGUAACAAAAAUGUAUUCUGCAUCCUCAAAAAAGCGUAGCCUACACAGAAAGAACAAGAAGGAUUCAGAACAUAUACAUAAACCAAAUCGACAAAGCCGGAAAAAGACCAACCUCACAAGCUGAAGUCCUAGACCAACUGAAACGUCUUGUAACUCGCUGAUUUCAUGGGAACACAGUACACUUAAGGUGCUCCCUGCAGAGACCCGUGGCCGUUAAGAACUCAGCAUCAGAAAAACUUAUGACAUGAUUGGCAAAGGAACACAGAUGAUUAGUCUAACCUUGAUAAGUCGCAGACACACCCACGAGUAGCACGUAAAGCUUGUUUAGGGUGCUCAGCAGCAACACUGCUUCCCUGUAUUUCAGAAUACUGUCAAAAGGGAAGAGAACAAAUAGCUUCCUGGUAUAACGAUGCUUCUCAACUAGCUAUGAAGUUAAAUAAGAUAAAUCAAAAUUCAAGUACGAUUUUUCACACAUCACCCACUUUAAGAAAGCCCAAGCAUCUAAAUCUAAUGCAAACAAUUCCGUUGAAUACUAAGAAAGCUUAGCCAUAAUAAAAAAAGGAUGAUAUCACAUCUCUCUCAGCAAGUCAAGAAUAAAGAAAAACAAAACCUAUGUAUAAACCUACCCAAAGGGACUUAUAUUACCAUCAUUUACCACUACAAACUAAACCACGAAAGUGUUACAAAAACUCACCGUUGCUUGUACGUAGAACCUUUCUGUAGUAUAAAAUCACAGCUCAUGUACGUCCUACAAGUUUCUUGAGAGCUGGAAUCUGCCAGUUUUGCUGAAAAAUAUUCCUCUACUGAAUCGCCUUUUCCUUCAUGUGUUCUGUCAGUCCCCAAAUAUCUACUAUUGCUAUUACUACUACUACACAUCAUUGACAGAGAACUUUCUUGCAAAUGAUCAGAACCAGAAAAACAGAUAUCUGCGUCACUACUGAGAGAUGCCUCCGCAUUAGUAAUACAACUUUCCUCUUUCUGAAAGGAAACAUAUCUUUUUAUAGGUUUCCUUAUGCUUUUCUUUGUCUCAACCAAAUGGCAAAUAUGUUCACCAUUAUGCAAUUCCGAAAGAGAACUACUGGUAUUCUCCUUCAUCGAUCCAUCAGUCCUCAAAGAUUCUAUUAUGCUACUACCAUUCUCCGGUUGAGAAUCAAGAGAGCUUGUUACUUUGGGUUCACACCCCGGAAUCUCCUCACGCAGUCUAUUCACAUUAAGAAGAUCUGUCAACCGACUGUUUUCAUGGUUCGAAUACUCAGACUCAGAGUCGUAGUUAUCAUCUUCACUGCAGCUGCUUGUGCUAUCAGAUGAUGCAACUGAAUAAGAAUCUGCAGACAGCUGUAAGAUUUCUUCCACCAAGUUCUGACGUCGAUGCAAGACAUCUUUCUGAUAAUGAGGGGGUGACCCAGGAUAAGUUGAUGAAAAUGAUCCCAUUAUAUCCUGGCCUAUAUCCAAUGUUGACGCAUUUCCAUUUUCAGCUAACUUCUCCCCGGAAGGGGCUGUAGAAAACAGGUUGUUUGGUUCAACCGAUGCAAAUUCCUGACUUUGAUUUGUAGCUUGAAGGCCUAACGAAGAGAUGUCACUAGUCAUAGUCUGUGUCUCAUUACCUUCAACGAACUUCAUAUCAUCCAUACCGGUUUUGUGAUCCACAGAUGAACCAUUGCAUUCUAAAUUUUUCCUAUGGCCCUUAUCUCUUGAAGCUCGUAAAGAGCUGGACGAGUAUCUUCGUGUUCCACUAUGCUGCCUUGAAAUUCCUCUCGCAUUUGAACAGUACUUUUCCAUAUUGAUACCCAAGCUGUCUUUGCUGACAUCUGCAAAAUCCUCUGAUGAAUGAUCCAUCCAUUCCUUGAACUCUCGUAGCCAUAGAACAGAACGUUCUUUCUUCAGGUUUUCAACUUUCCUUAUAAGACCAAAUAUGUCAGCAUCUUGAUCACACUUUAUAUUGUCUUUGUUCUUGUGAUCACAUGACACAGUCUCUUGGUCAGAAUUCGCGUAGGUGCUCUCUUCCUCGCAAU
rnacentral:lncRNA from 1 species